AGAGCGAACGCUGGCGGCAGGCUUAACACAUGCAAGUCGAGCGGGCGUAGCAAUGCGUCAGCGGCAGACGGGUGAGUAACGCGUGGGAACGUACCUUUUGGUUCGGAACAACCCAGGGAAACUUGAGCUAAUACCGGAUACGCCCUUACGGGGAAAGAUUUAUUGCCGAAGGAACGGCCCGCGUCCGAUUAGCUAGUUGGUGAGGUAACGGCUCACCAAGGCGACGAUCGGUAGCUGGUCUGAGAGGAUGACCAGCCUCACUGGGACUGAGACACGGCCCAGACUCCUACGGGAGGCAGCAGUGGGGAAUAUUGGACAAUGGGCGCAAGCCUGAUCCAGCCAUGCCGCGUGGAUGAUGAAGGCCUUAGGGUUGUAAAGUCCUUUUAACGGGAAGAUAAUGACGGUACCCGUAGAAUAAGCCCGGCUAACUUCGCGCCAGCAGCCGC
rnacentral:rRNA from 1 species